rnacentral:rRNA from 1 species
GACGAACGCUGGCGGCAUGCUUAACACAUGCAAGUCGAACGAUGAAGAAGAGCUUGCUCUUCGGAUUAGUGGCGAACGGGUGAGUAACACGUGACUAACCUGCCCCUUUCUCUGGGAUAACGCUCCGAAAGGAGUGCUAAUACCGGAUACUCACAUCGAGGCACAUGCCUUGAUGUGGAAAGUUUUUCGGAAAGGGAUGGAGUCGCGGCCUAUCAGCUUGUUGGUGAGGUAACGGCUCACCAAGGCGACGACGGGUAGCCGGCCGGGGAGGGCGACCGGCCACACUGGGACUGAGACACGGCCCAGACUGCUACGGGAGGCAGCAGUGGGGAAUAGUGCACAAUGGGCGAAAGGCUGGUGCAGCGACGCCGCGUGAGGGAUGAAGGUCUUCGGAUUGUAAACCUCUUUCAGUAGGGACGAAGCGAAAGUGACGGUACCUAAAGAAGAAGCACCGGCUAACUACGUGCCAGCAGCCGCGGUAA